rnacentral:tRNA from 1 species
UAAUUUUAUAGAAAAAAGUAUUUUGCAAAAUUAGUGUUUUUUUAUGACCGAAAGUCAGUAAAUAUGGUGCAAAUCCGCGUAAAUUAG